rnacentral:rRNA from 1 species
UACGUAGGGUGCAAGCGUUGUCCGGAAUUAUUGGGCGUAAAGAGCUCGUAGGCGGUCUGUCGCGUCGGCUGUGAAAUCCCGGAGCUCAACUCCGGGUCUGCAGUCGAUACGGGCAAACUGGAGUACUGCAGGGGAGACUGGAAUUCCUGGUGUAGCGGUGAAAUGCGCAGAUAUCAGGAGGAACACCGGUGGCGAAGGCGGGUCUCUGGGCAGUAACUGACGCUGGAGGA